ACAAUCAUAAUUAUAAGUAUAAAAACAUUUAAAAUUGUAUUUUAAGGCAAAGAAGUUUAAUACUAUUGGAAUACUAUAAGAGCAGUGACAAAACCCUAUGGAAAUAAGAAAACCACAAAGAUGGUUUAAAUUUUAUAAAAUAAAGGAUUAGGAAGAUUUCUAUUUUAGGAUUGCACGUGGAAAAUGUCAAAGAAAUAAUUAAAAACAACUUAACAAAAACUUACUUUUUAAUCCUCCAUCUUCAUCGCUAUCAUCUUCAAAGUCCAUAAUUUCAUCAUCAGAUUCACCAUCAUCAUCACUAUCUUCAUCAGACUGAUUAUUCUCGUCCAA